GACGAACCGUGCGAACGUUGUUCGGAAUCACUGGGCUUAAAGGGCGCGCAGGCGGUCUGGUAAGUUUGGAGUGACAGUGCUCGGCUUAACUGAGCAAGGCCUUCGAAAACUGCUAGACUUGAGCACUCAAGAGGGACAUAGAAUUCCGGGUGGAGUGGUGAAAUGCGUAGAUAUCCGGAGGAAUACCAAAGGCGAAGGCAGUGUCCUGGGGAGUGUCUGACGCUCAGGCGCGAAAGCUAGGGGAGCGAACAGG
rnacentral:rRNA from 1 species